rnacentral:rRNA from 1 species
UACGUAGGAGACGAGCGUUGUCCGGAGUUACUGGGCGUAAAGGGUGCGCAGGUGGCGGCGCGCGUGGGGGGUGAAAUCGCCCGGCUUAACUGGGCGGGGGCCUUCCAGACGGCGUGGCUUGAGCAGCGGAGGGGGACGUGGAAUUCCGGGUGGAGCGGUGAAAUGUGUAGAGAUCCGGAGGAACACCAGUGGUGCAAACGGCGCCCUGGGUCCGAACUGACGCUGAAGCACGAAAGCGUGGGGAGCGAACGGG